rnacentral:pre_miRNA from 1 species
GGCCUCCCUCUGUGGGGCCAUCAAUUGUGGGGCUCUGUGAUAGAUUGCCCAGCAGAGGGAGGCC